rnacentral:lncRNA from 1 species
CAGAGGGCAGCACAGGAUGCGAUCGCACGACCCUGCCCGUGAGCAAUCUCCCAACUCAUCUCUGUCUCUGCUUGUUAAGGAGAAUUCAAGUAUGAUUCAUGUUUGGGUAAUGAAAGUGAAGGCGGUACUAAAUUGAACCAGUGGCGCCAUCAUCGAGGUUAAAAUCGGGAGGGUAUCUGGGAAUGAUGACUUCUGUCGAAUUUGUUAUCGUUAACGCAGUUAUUAUUUCUCUUAACACUCAUUAAAUUUAUCAGAUCGUAUACAACGCAGAACUAGAUUACGCUCACUCCAAGUGCGUACAACCAUCUGAGUACCAGCUCCUCGACGAAGAACCUAACAUGAAACGUUGAACACACUCAUAGUAACACCUUUUAGAAACCAUGCUCCGGAUAAGGUUGUCACGAAAUUUACAUGGCAGUUUCUAUGAAUGUUCACUGCUGUGACGUGUUCGUGAUUCUCUGCCUGUCCGAAGCUCCGAUUGUGUCGCAGCAGAAAUCUAUCCUAAGAAACGAAUUAACUCAACAGAAUUCCUUGGAUCAAGUUGGAUCACGGUACACGGUUGAAGAGUUAAUUCUCCGUUCGCGUGUUAUCACGCAUCGCCUGUGUACUUCCAGCUUACAUUUACACCGAAAGGUGUGACGUUUAAUACCCGCCGUUCGAGGGUAAUUCGCCAGGCACGGAUGAUUUUUCGAAGUCAAGGACUGCGACCUCGCGGAAAUGGAAGAAAAAUAAAAAAGAAAAACGCCCCGAAUGUGCGAUCUUUAAUUUGUGGGUGAACCAAUUGACGGACCGUCUCGAUGGAAGCUGGCCCGAAGAUCUGCUCGAAGUUCUCAAGAGCCACCGCGAACACGAAAUCCGCCCACGUGGUCGCAAGGAAUGAGGGUCUCCAGGUAGGGGGCAAGAGCCGUGGGAGAAACCGCAGAGAUCUGAAAUUCUGAAUAUUCCGGUGAUGUUAAAGGACCGUGCUAGCCACUCUCUCGGUUUCCACGGAUCCCGGAUCCCUCAUCUCGGAAACUUGCCGCAAACCGGGAUUCUCACCAAGGGCCACCCUCGG